rnacentral:tRNA from 1 species
UGGGGCGUGGCCAAGUGGUAAGGCAGGGGACUUUGGAUCCCCCACCGGAGGUUCGAAUCCUCCCGCCCCAG